AGAUUGAACGCUGGCGGCAUGCCUAACACAUGCAAGUCGAACGGGAGUAGCAAUACUCUAGUGGCGGACGGGUGAGGAAUACGUAGGAAUUUGCCCUUAAGUGGGGGAUAACCCGGGGAAACCCGGAUUAAUACCGCAUGACCUCGAAAGAGCAAAGUGGGGGAUCGCAAGACCUCACGCUUUUGGAGAAGCCUACGUCGGAUUAGCUAGUUGGUGAGGUAAUGGCUCACCAAGGCGACGAUCCGUAACUGGUCUGAGAGGAUGAUCAGUCACACCGGAACUGAGACACGGUCCGGACUCCUACGGGAGCAGCAGUGGGGAAUAGUUGGACAACGGGC
rnacentral:rRNA from 1 species